rnacentral:misc_RNA from 1 species
CGGAACGUCGAGUGGCAGUCGUGUGUCGAUUGUUGAGCGGCGGUCGCACAUAUGUGAAAAAUAAAUAUCUUAAUUUUAAUUGAAUUAAGACAAUAACAACAACGAUUUCUGGGACUCGGUUGCCUUGCCAUAUGUGACACACAGCACACACAUGCGCCCGUAAAGUCAGAACUCUGUUUCAGCGCGAAUGCGGGUGCACAACAGUGAAAUUUCGCAGCGACAAGUGGAAAAGAAAACGGAGAAAGGUAGCACAAGAGCCAAACGAAAAUCCUGGUCAUGUCGUUGGAAUUCGAGAUCAGCAGCUCUUGCAACCACAACAACAACACAAACACGUAUGGCCAUGCGAACAACAACUGCAUCAUGCUGAAGUUAUUGCCCGCUUCCUCCGCACCCGCCUUCCCUCAGCUGAUCCAGGCCAGCUGUUCCAAUGUCGUGGAGUUGGAUUCACCAGAUAGCAGUGCGGGGACAGCAAACAUAUCCGAAGCUCCCUCCGCCGCCCAGCGUACACCGGACACGUCGGAGGACAGCGAAUGUGACUCGUUUCUCGCCACUCGGAGAGCUACCCGCUCCUCCUCUGUGCUACGCAACCGGAAGCGCAACUCGUGGUGGGGACGAGCCCACAGCAUUCUUUUCCACAACUGGUAUCUGGGCUGCCUGGUGCCCGCCUCCAUUCUGGGGGUUCUCAUCUUUAUCGGAUGGACGACGCGGGACUACGCCCGCCAAUUGCUCUUCUGGAUCGAAAUGCAGAACGCCUGGAUAACAUUUGCCGUCUACAUGGGACUCUUUGCUCUGGUCAGCUUCCCCGUGGUGGUGGGAUACUUCGUACUGCUCAUCACCGCCGGCUAUCUAUUCGGCUGCCUGCGCGGUUGGGUCACCGUGAUUCUGGGUGCCAAUCUCGGCAUCGCCGUGGCACAUGCCACCAUUCGCGGCUGCCGGCACCGCAUUCCCGUGCAAAGGCUGAUCAAGAAUGACACGGGGCGAGCUAUUCUCCGGGUGAUAUCUGGCCCAAAGGCAUUUCGGGUCGUUCUCUUUACCCGACUUACCCCCAUUCCUUUUGGAGUACAGAAUGUAAUAUUCGGAUCUAUUAUUUUCCCAGAUCAGUUCCAUUAAUACAAGAGACUACCAUGUGGCCACGCUGAUUGGGUUGCUGCCAGCCCAAACCAUCAAUGUUUACUUGGGUUCCACGCUGAGGUCUAUGCACGAAGUGCUUAGCGAUAACGAAACCAAACUGACGGGAUAUAUCAGCUUUGUGUUUGAGGUAAUUUGUGGCGUGGCCUUGAUGUUCUGGGUAUUGCAGAAGGCAAGGAAGGAGCUGUCUGAGACGCUGCUUAACGCUGAUUACAACAACGAGGGCAAGCAUCCUGACGUACAAGUU